rnacentral:rRNA from 1 species
GACGUAGGUGGCGAACGUUAUCCGGAAUUAUUGGGCGUAAAGGGUGCGUAGAUGGCCUGAUAAGUUAGCAGUGGGAAAUCGAGGCUCAACCUCGUGGAAGCUGGUAAUACUGUCAGGCUCGAGUGCAGGAGAGGUUAACGGAACUCCAUGUGGAGCGGUAAAAUGUGUAGAUAUAUGGAAGAACACCAAUAACGGCGAAGGCAGUUAACUAUUCUGUUACUGACAUUGAGGCACGAAAGCGUGGGGAGCAAAACGG